rnacentral:rRNA from 1 species
GAUGAACGCUGGCGGCGUGCUUAACACAUGCAAGUCGAACGAAGCACUUUAUUUGAUUUCCUUCGGGACUGAAUAUUUUGUGACUGAGUGGCGGACGGGUGAGUAACGCGUGGGUAACCUGCCGUGUACAGGGGGAUAACAGUUGGAAACGGCUGCUAAUACCGCAUAAGCGCACAGCAUCGCAUGAUGCAGUGUGAAAAACUCCGGUGGUAUAAGAUGGACCCGCGUUGGAUUAGCUAGUUGGUGAGGUAACGGCCCACCAAGGCGACGAUCCAUCGCCGGCCUGAGAGGGUGACCGGCCACAUUGGGACUGAGACACGGCCCAAACUCCUACGGGAGGCAGCAGUGGGGAAUAUUGCACAAUGGGCGAGAGCCUGAUGCAGCGGCGCCGCGUGAGCGAAGAAGUAUUUCGGUAUGUAAAGCUCUAUCAGCAGGGAAGAUAAUGACGGUACCUGACUAAGAAGCACCGGCUAAAUACGUG